AUUGCCUCAGUAACGGCGAGUGAAGCGGCAACAGCUCAAAUUUGAAAUCUGGCCCCAGGCCCGAGUUGUAAUUUGCAGAGGAUGCUUUUGGUGAGGUGCCUUCCGAGUUCCCUGGAACGGGACGCCAUAGAGGGUGAGAGCCCCGUCUGGUCGGACACCGAGCCUCUGUAAAGCUCCUUCGACGAGUCGAGUAGUUUGGGAAUGCUGCUCUAAAUGGGAGGUAUAUGUCUUCUAAAGCUAAAUACCGGCCAGAGACCGAUAGCGCACAAGUAGAGUGAUCGAAAGAUGAAAAGCACUUUGAAAAGAGAGUUAAAUAGCACGUGAAAUUGUUGAAAGGGAAGCGUUUAUGACCAGACUUGGCCCGGUUGAUCAUCCAGCGUUCUCGCUGGUGCACUCUGCCGGUCCAGGCCAGCAUCAGUUCGUCGCGGGGGAUAAAGGUUUCGGGAAUGUGGCUCCUCCGGGAGUGUUAUAGCCCGUUGCGUAAUACCCUGCGGUGGACUGAGGUCCGCGCUUCUGCAAGGAUGCUGGCGUAAUGGUCAUCAACGACCCGUCUUGAAACACGGACCAAGGAGUCGUCUUCGUAUGCGAGUGUUCGGGUGUAAAACCCCUACGCGUAAUGAAAGUGAACGCAGGUGAGAGCUUCGGCGCAUCAUCGACCGAUCCUGAUGUUCUCGGAUGGAUUUGAGUAAGAGCAUACGGGGCCGGACCCGAAAGAAGGUGAACUAUGCCUGUAUAGGGUGAAGCCAGAGGAAACUCUGGUGGAGGCUCGCAGCGGUUCUGACGUGCAAAUCGAUCGUCAAAUAUGGGCAUGGGGGCGAAAGAC
rnacentral:rRNA from 1 species